UGGACGAUAGCACAAUCGGUAGUGCGCCCGGCUGUUAACCGGGGGGUUGCAGGUUCGAAUCCUGCUCGUCCAG
rnacentral:tRNA from 2 species